GGUGAGGUGGGUGAGUGGCUUAAACCAACAGUUUGCUAAACUGUCGUUCCGGCAACGGAACCGGGGGUUCGAAUCCCCCCCUCACCG
rnacentral:tRNA from 2 species